UUCUCUGAUAGAUUUCAGUGUGUCAAAUCGGAGGGUCUGUUGUCCGGGCCUCUGGCAGUCUCUAUGGGGGUGCCACAGGGUUCAAUUCUUGGACCAACUCUCUUCUCUGUAUUGUAGGAGUAAGUGACAUAUGUAGGUAGAUAUCACACUAUUAAACAAUAGACAGGUAAAUAGUAUAAGAAGGCAGAUGUGAAUGCAUUUGCCAUUCUGGUAAAUACAGGAAACCGAAGAUUGGCAGAUGGUGUGGUGGUAGCGAACCGCAUGUUGACAGGGGUCAUGGGACCGUGGUGAUGGAGGUCUACUGGGGGAUGUUCUGGCCCUCUGACCCUUGUAUAUUCUCCAUUGUGCUGGCGGGUUGACCAGACAUGCGGGCGCCUACAGGGCGCUUUGACACACUAGAUUUAUAGUCUACUCAUUCCACUAGAAAAGCAUACAUACCAGAGAAAUAUGCCUGGGGUGGCUGGACACUUAGACCCAUUAGACACAUAGUCUGCUGAUUCUUUAAAGAGAUACACAUGUCAGAGAAAUAUGUGUUUAGGCCACUUAGACCCACUAGAAAUAUAGUCUGACCAGUCCAUUAUGGACAUACAUGUCAGACACACAGGCACAUGAAGAAAGUUGAGACACUGGGAUAGAGGGUCCGGCCACCAUUAUAAACUGAUUGAAGGCAGAUGGUGGUGAAUGACUUCAUAGGGGACGGACAAUACUAUGUGGGUAUAAAUAUAAAGAGCGAACUAGUGCUCUGGGGGUGUGUGUUCCGUGGGACUUCAGAGAUGGUUAUACUAUUGUAAAUAAAAGCAUGUUUUGAUUUCACAAGUUCUGAUAAAGCGUUAUAUUUCUGAGAUGAUUUUCCACGACAUAUUUGGCGAGCUGAGCCAGGAGGGACAGGGACUGAGGAAUGGCGUCCAGGGCUGGAGAUAGUUUCUUUGGACAAUCUUGCAAACACUAUGGCCACAACUAUAAAAAGGUAAGCUUGUUCUUACAUAGUUGAAAUGUUUGUAUGGAUUGCUUCAGAGAUCCUGUCUCAGCGAGAGAGGCGCCAUGUAAGUCUCUCUUUCAAAUUUCCUAAAAAGAAACCAGUAAAAACGAAAGAACUUUUGAAUUCAAAUAAAUUUGCAUGUAUGUGUAAUUUGGGGAAUUGUAUUAAAUAUAAAUGCAUGUGCAUGUAUAGAGAAUGAGUGAAUAGGCGAUGUGAACUUUGCUUGUGUUAGGUGUUUAGUGGAGCAUGCGCUCGUUCUGAUUAGACCGUUCGAAUGUGUAGCUUAAAUGAUGUGCUUGUUUGUGCCAUCUGGCUGAGAUGGCUGGCUAUAAUGUCGGACAGCUCAUACGGUAAAAACAGAUAAUGUAGGUAGAAAAUCCUGUGAUACCUCUUCAAUAAAAUUAGUAGAAGGAAUGCUUGGACAGGUUACUUAUGAAUAAUGGCUCUAAAGAUAACAGAGAACUGCAUAAAUAAGUAGUUAGAAAGCCACCGCUCUUUAAAAAAGGAACAUUUUUAAAGAGGUCUGAUUGGGUGGAUAUUUAGUAAAUAAAUACUUCAUGGAUACCGCCCCAGAACGGGGGACUGAACGGAUGAAUAUUUAGAAGGCAGGAAAAACGUUAGCCCGAUUGUGCGGCGUUCAACUGCAAAAGUAGCUUAUAAAUAUUAGGUUGUAGGAAAACGUUAGCCCGAUUGUGCGGCGUUCAACUGCAAAAGUAGCUUAUAAAUAUUAGGUUGUAGAAAAAACGUUUGCCCGAUUGUGCGGCGUUCAACUGCAAAAGUAGUUUAUACGGUCGAAACAUAAAUCAGUAGUUAAAUAAAUAUUUCAUGGUUAACGCUCUGAAAGGAGGACUGUACGGAUGAAUAUUUAGGACGUUUGCCCGAUUGUGCGGCGUUCAAAUGCAAAAGAAAUCCUGCGAAUAAAAAACCGCUCUGUCUAGCUAACAGGGUUUUGUAAUUCAGUAGGUCACGCCACAAUACUACUCUAAUAAAAGAAGAAAAGAUCAGUAUUGGGGGGUGGGUAGGAUAUGAAGACAAGCUGAUCAGAUUAGACAGUAGUCUCUCGUCAUAUCGUAGAAAUCCUAUUAGCCUAGGCUUAUGUUGAACAAAGGGAUUAAGUAAAUAAAGAAAGAACUGAGUUGUUUUGAGGUAAAAACAAAGGGAUUGAAUGAACGGAUGAAACAUAAAAGGAUGAAUGAUAAUGUUGUAAGAAAUGAGUAGAUCUGUGUAGAGAUAGAACAUUAGGAAGAAAGAAAGGACAGGUUGGGUUGUGUGUGUGUCUGUGACCAACUGCUGGUAGGAAGAGGCAUGCGCAAGCCUUUCUGACAGUUAACUGAGUGUAAUUUGAGAAGGAGAGUGCAGUUAACUGCUAUUAGGCAGAUGGAAUGAAAUUAAGGAACAUCGAAGUAAAAUAAGUUAUAAUCAAGGAUAAAAACACUGAUGUGAUAAAGUAAUAAGCGACCAUAGUAGAAUACUAAAAAAGGUGUUAAAAUAAAUAACCAUAAAGAUAAUAAAAGAGGAUUAAACCAAAUAGUGUGUAACAAGACAGAAAGUAGAAUCGUCGAUAAAUUGAAAUUGUACUAUAAAGUUAAAAACGAAUCUAGGUUAGUUAAGAUAAAUAGUGAUAAAUAGUGAAAUUCAGGACAGAUUAAGGAUUCACGAACGGUGUAACAAAGGAAGAGGAAAAAAGAGGCCGUCGAUCACUCUGUACCCACAGAGACUGCGGUCUAAAAAUAGCCUGAAGGACAGAGACCAGAAUAUGAGAAGUUUGUUUCACUAAAACCGUGAAUCGGGAAUUAAACAGUAAAAUGGGAUAAAAGACAAUGAAAUAUUAGGAAUAUAGAGAAGAGGUAAGAUAGUAUAGACAAAAUAAAUUAAUAAAGGUAAACGUAAGAUGUUAGAUAGAGAUCUUAAAGGAGCGGGCAGUGGACUGGUGUGACUCAGUUGGUAGAGCAUGGUGCUUGCAACGCCAGGGUUGAGGGUUAAAUUCCCAUGGGGGACCAGGAUGAAUAUGUAUGAACUUUCCAAUUUGUAAGUCGCUCUGGAUAAGAGCAUUUGAUAAAUGACUUAAAUGUAAUGUAAAUGUAAUCAUAAAAUUGAUUAGAAUUAUAAAAUGAAUAAAAAUAGUGAUAUCUGUAAAGGGAAAAACACAGUGAUAUUUGAAGUACUGUCCUAGAAUAAGACAUUAAGUCAUCUGUAGUAUUCAGAAAUAAUGUCUGUACUAUAUAGAGUAGGUUUCGAUAAAAUAAAUUAAGUGAUGUGACAAAUGAAUUAUUAAUUGGAAAGGGGAUUAGCUUUACCUCGGAAAAAUAGUAAAUAAAAGGUGUAUAAUACAUGUGAGUAUUUAGGAAAAAUAAAUAAAUAAACAGUCACAUGGGACCAAAAUGUGAAGCUCGAUUUGCAGGCGUUCUGAUGUCAACAUUAUAUGAUCAGAAAAUACAUUGCGAUGAGGUUGUGUGUGUGGUUCCUCUAGUCCUCGCAGACGUGCGGGUGAUUGGCAGAACUAUUGACAAGAUCUAAGAACCAAUAAGAAAAUAGCUCUCUGUUCUGGAUAUAGGUAUAUCGGGUAUGGGAAAAUUAGUGUAAUGUGACAUUAGAACUUAGUACGGUAGUAGGAAAUGCCGCUAUACAAGAGUUUAUAUCGUUGUCAAAAUAACAAACAACUAAUCGGUUUGAGGUUAGUGAGAAUGGAAUUUUUUACUUGUCGGUGUAUAGUCUCUGAGCGAACAAUGAGUGUUUCAUAGAGAUUACAGUUUAUAUGUGGUCAAGAAGAAGUAUUAGAUCACGUUUGACUUGACAUCUAGUAGAGUAACGACGGAAUUUUAACUGUUAGACAUUCUAUACCACAAUUCUCUGGAACUGUUAAAGACGCUUUAGAAUAAAAUCUAUGGAUAAGUAAAAUUAUUGGUUUGCUGACUAAAAAGUAACAUUGUGAAUAUUAACGAUAUGUACACUUUCUUUUCCAGAAAGAAUAAGGGGAAAAAAAGGGUUUUUUAAUCUUCUCUGGUCAACAAUGUCAUUGGAGACUGCAUUACUGUGGAAAGCAGUUAAAGUCAGCCGCUUUAAAAAUAAAAAUAUCUGGAUAAGGCUAAAACAUGGAGUUCUGGAUGAGUGAGUCCAGUUCGUUUGCUAUUAUUAGCUUAUGGUUCACUAGUGAGUACACCAUGUACUGGGAAUGAAUAUGCAUUAGUAGAUAUAUUGGAAGGGUUUUUUCCAAUUCAGUUUCAAAUUGGGUAUGCAAAAGGAUGAACAUGUUUUUGAAAAAUGUAUUUAAGUUGCUCCUAAAGAAAGGGGGAGUGGAAACAUAUUAAUGGUGUCAAAAUGCCCUGAAUCCUAGGAAUUUCCUGUGAAAGACUGAUCACCUUUUACUAGAAAUUGUUGAAACAGGUGGGAUUUACUUAUAAAAUGUUUAAGACACCAGACUCUAUUCAAACUGUAUAAUUACUUUGAAAAUCUAUUAUGUCUCUGGGAAAAUUAUGAAGAGUUGUACCCUUAAAUUGAAUAAGUUAUUCGAAUAGGUUUAUUUUUAUUUUUAUUUUUGAUAUAACAUGGGUUCAUAGGUAAAACUAUCAGUUCCUUGGGGUUAUGGUCUUUGGGUAAAUACACAAAUGUGUUUUGUUCAUUAUGCAUAUAAAAAGUGUUGAAAGUUAUUCCAACGGGUUUAUUGGAGUGUGAGUUUGUGAGGGUUUUUGUUGAUAAAUACAUCAUCUGUAAUUCAUCUGAGAGAACACUGGUGGAAUAAGGGAGUUAUCAUAAGAAGGUAACGUCAGAAUGCUUUAAGGCAUGGGAGAGAAUAUCACCACAAGUGGGUGUGGAGCUCAAACCCACCCUAACCGACUGAACAGUGAGGGACAACUGUGUCUGAUGACCUGUGAACUGUAUCUAAAAAAAAAAGACAUGCUGAAAUGAUAUGGGCCAGGGAGAGUAAUGACUUAAAGGAUUGGGGUACUGAUCUUUUUAUUAUCAGGCCACAAAUGAGAGAAGAACUGAGACAACGGGGCUAUUGGAAAAUAGAUAAUACUGGUAUUUAAAGUGUUUAGUAUAAAUGUUAAUUAUUAAAGGGAUGUUGUGUAUUGAAUAGAUAAGGUCAAAUUUGAGUUAAAGUAAACACUAAGGACUGUUAUCCUGAAUAUUGGGUUGGAAAAUGUAUUUAAGAAAUAACUGUUUAGUUAUUUAGAUAUAGAACUGUUUAAAUUUAAUAGGCCUAGGGAAGCUCUGGAAACUAAUCCUGAGACAAGGUGGUUGACAAAACUUACAGAAUAUUAGAUUAAAGUUAUUUUUUUUUUUUUGUUUGUUUUUUUGUUUUAUAAUGUCAUUGGAAUUGGAAUGAUAAAAUCUAAUGUUUAAUUGAAUAAAAAGAUAGUAUGUUGUGCGAUGAUACCCAAGAAUGAAGAAGAAAGAGACCAAUAAUAACAUGGGCAUAGAAUGAAACAGAUGGACGUUUUCUCCAGGUUUAAUUACAUUACGAAUAGUGGAAAUUUAUUGCAAAUGUGUAAUUAUUAUAAUUUUUUUUUUUUUUUUUUUUUUUUCUCUUUUUCUCGUUUGGUCAAUUUAUUUUUGUUUUGAGGAACAUAAGGUUGUGUAUAUGUUCCUGAGGAGGGAUUGAUACUGAUAUCAAUGAUAUAUAAAUUGACUUAAGGAUGUUUUAAGUAUGUAUCAAACAAUGGCUGUUAUGGGUUAGGGGACUCAUAAAUGAAGGUAAUGGUAGUGAAGGGGUGUUAUUUCUAGAAACUAUGUAUAAUAAUAGAGAUAAUUCACAGAAAAGGAAAGACAGCUGACUGUGUAAAAUAUAGGGAAAAUUCUAAAGUAAAUAGAACAAUUCACAUAUCUAAAGAUAUGGUAAAAAGAAUAAGUGGUGGCAUUUUGAACACUAGAGCAAAAGUUUAAGAAACUUAUUACUUAGUUUUGAUAGGAUUGGAUAUUAAUCCAACUGGAAGACAUUUGACUGAUUACAUGUUAGUGUACAGCAGUUGAUGUAGGGAACAUCAUUUGACUAUCAUUGAAUAUUUCUGUGGCAGGAGGCCAGGUAUUUGAGGCAGAAUGGUUACAUAGGGCUGUUAUUAAAAAUUAAGAUUUAGUGAUCUUGCUAAUGUUGUCAGGAAAUAACCCAUGUGUUAGUGUGUAUGUCCUCAGGAAAAAACAGCCAGAAAUGGAAGGGCUUGGGCUGCAUUCUGGAGACUGAGUGUACAUCAAGAUACACCAGGCUGGUGGUAUACUUCUUACAACACUGCAGUGGUAAAGUUCUUCUUGUCUCUCUUUGGUGGGUGCAUAAGUCUCACGAGAAGUAAGGUCCAGCUGAAUAAUGGGUGAGCUUGAAAACACCAUGACAGAGGAUGUGGAAUCAGAGAGAGAAAGAGAGAGAGAUUAGAUUCCACUAUAGACAUACUGGGUUGAGUUUGGAGGCUACUUGUUUUAUUUUUAAUACAUCAUGUGAAAGAGAAUGGAUGAUAGGAUAUUAUACUCUAAACAAACAUGUUAAAUGGAGUGAUAUGAAAGCAUAUACAGUGUUGAAUUAAUUCAAGAAGAGAGAAUGUUAAUUGUAGGUUAUGCACAUGAUUAUCAGUUGAAAUGGAGUAGAUGGGAAACUAAGUAAAAAUGACAUGAUUUGGGAACACCUCUCAGAACCUGUGGCCGAAAGGGGAAGACUGGGUGGAAGCAUGAGGAAGCUUUUUAGGGCUUUUAUUUUUGUGGAGUCCAGCAGAAAAGUAUCCUGGAGGCAUAGAGUCAGGUAAAGAGAGAGUGGGAAUUGUCAUGGUCUCAGAUUUCAGUUUGCAUGAAUAUAUUUAUGCAUAACACAUAACAUUGUCAAUGCUGUUAUGUUUUGUCUGUUGUUUUCCAAGUCUUAUGUUUAGGAAACCAGAAGGAGAGGGGUUCGCCAGCUUCAGCUGGAAUGUCUGUUUGUGGUGUGAUGAGUGAUGGAAGUAAGAGGAUGUAUGGUGCAAUCAUAGAACAGAGGCCAUAAGUCUCUAAGUAUGAAUGCUUCACAGAAAGUAGGCAGAAACCUGAACCAGGAUGAGAGGUUCUGCGUCUGAUGAUCCAAGGGGACCAGAAGGACCUCUCCCAGUGAUACCAGGAGAUCUAGUCCACGUUGGAGGGAUCCGGAGGAAGUGGGAUCAACCGAGGAGAGAUGGACCCUAUGAGGUGGCCAAAGCAACAAGAACGGCCGUCCAAGUGAAAAGAAGCCAGACGUGGUACCAUCUGAACCACUGCAGCUGAGUCCCAACAGAGAGAAGGAUACAACCACAUAGAGAUGAGGACACAGAGGAUGCUGAUUCACCAGGAGGGAGCCUGGAGGGAGCAGGAGCAGCGGAAACGAUUGAGACGCCAGGGAGGAGCCAAGAAAACAGCAAAUCAAGUGAAAGCCAAAAUAUGACACGUGCACCGACUAAUGCACCCAGAAGAGGAGGAGGAGGCCUCACAAGGAACAGAAUAAGAACGUUUCUUCCCUAAAAUUGAAACUCUUCCAGAUGGAAGCUAAGUCCGGCCUGAGGAGGGAGCCUCAGGUGAAGAAAGAGGAGGAAAAGUCCCGCAAGCUGAAGAAAAUGGGGAUACCCUACAAUUGACUUUUAAACUUUUGAAUGGCCUCCUUUACAGACAAUUGAUGUUAGAACAACAAAAGAAUAAUGACAUUGACAUAACAGAA